AGCAGCGUGGCGCAGCGGAAGCGUGCUGGGCCCAUAACCCAGAGGUCCCUGGAUCGAAACCAGGCGCUGUUA
rnacentral:tRNA from 1 species